rnacentral:rRNA from 1 species
AGUAGCGGCGGACGGGUGAGUAACGCGUAGGUAAUCUGCCGUUCAGCACAGGGAUAGCCUAGGGAACCUGGAUUAAUACCUGAUAAUGCAGUUUGGUCACAUGGCCAGAUUGCCAAAGAUUUAUCGGCUGGAAGAUGAACCUGCGUCUGAUUAGGAUAGUUGGUGAGGUAACGGCCCACCAAGUCAACGAUCAGUAGCCGACCUGAGAGGGUGAUCGGCCACAUUGGAACUGAGACACGGUCCAAACUCCUACGGGAGGCAGCAGUGGGGAGUAUUGCACAAUGGGCGCAAGCCUGAUGCAGCCAACGCCGCGUGAGCGAUGAAGGUCUUCGGAUCGUAAAGCUCUGUCCUCUGGGAAGAAGAAGUGACGGUACCAGAGGAGGAAGCCCCGGCUAACUACGUGCCAGCAGCCGC